GGGGCUGUCAUGGUUUCGACAGGUUUAUGUUUGAUUCAGGCUGCAGUGGAGCGGUGACCAUAUCACCAAAUAAAUUUAGACGCUAACAACAAUAGCAAUUUUGCUUUCGCUGCCUAAGGACGCUUGACGCGUUGCAGCGACCCGAUCGCGGUAGAUGCCUAACGGCCGCGGUUGUGUAACUAAAAUCGGCUAGGGUGAGGCGGAUGGCUCGCUGUACAUACUGCUGUCUUAUCAACAGUGACCUAAACUGUAGAUGCCUGAAUGUGGGACUACUCUUGGACACGGGUUCGACUCCCGUCAGCUCCACCA
rnacentral:tmRNA from 1 species